rnacentral:rRNA from 1 species
UACGAAGGGGGCUAGCGUUGCUCGGAAUCACUGGGCGUAAAGCGCACGUAGGCGGGUCUUUAAGUCCGGGGUGAAAUCCCGGAGCUCAACUCCGGAACUGCCUUUGAUACUGGAGAUCUUGAGUCCGGGAGAGGUGAGUGGAACUCCGAGUGUAGAGGUGAAAUUCGUAGAUAUUCGGAAGAACACCAGUGGCGAAGGCGGCUCACUGGCCCGGUACUGACGCUGAGGUGCGAAAGCGUGGGGAGCAAACAGG